rnacentral:rRNA from 1 species
UACGUAGGGGGCGAGCGUUGUCCGGAAUUAUUGGGCGUAAAGGGUUCGUAGGCGGUUAUUUAAGUCAGAUGUGAAAGGCAUAGGCUCAACCUGUGUAAGCAUUUGAAACUGAGUAACUUGAGUUAAGGAGAGGAAAGCGGAAUUCCCGAUGUAGCGGUGAAAUGCGUAGAUAUCGGGAGGAACACCAGUGGCGAAGGCGGCUUUCUGGUCUAACCCUGACGCUGAGGAGCGAAAGCUAGGGGAGCAAACGGGAUUAGAUACCCCUGUAGUCCCUGAGCGGGCUGG